rnacentral:rRNA from 1 species
UCCGCAUGGUAGAACUAUUAAAGAAUUUCGGUCAUCGAUGGGGAUGCGUUCCAUUAGGUUGUUGGCGGGGUAACGGCCCACCAAGCCUUCGAUGGAUAGGGGUUCUGAGAGGAAGGUCCCCCACAUUGGAACUGAGACACGGUCCAAACUCCUACGGGAGGCAGCAGUGAGGAAUAUUGGUCAAUGGACGAGAGUCUGAACCAGCCAAGUAGCGUGAAGGAUGACUGCCCUAUGGGUUGUAAACUUCUUUUAUACGGGAAUAAAGUGAAACACGUGUGCCUUUUUGUAUGUACCGUAUGAAUAAGGAUCGGCUAACUCCGUGCCAGCAGCCGCGGUAAUACGGAGGAUCCGAGCGUUAUCCGGAUUUAUUGGGUUUAAAGGGAGCGUAGGCGGACGCUUAAGUCAGUUGUGAAAGUUUGCGGCUCAACCGUAAAAUUGCAGUUGAUACUGGGUGUCUUGAGUACAGUAGAGGCAGGCGGAAUUCGUGGUGUAGCGGUGAAAUGCUUAGAUAUCACGAAGAACUCCGAUUGCGAAGGCAGCUUGCUGGACUGUAACUGACGCUGAUGCUCGAAAGUGUGGGUAUCAAACAGGAUUAGAUACCCUGGUAGUCCACACAGUA